rnacentral:snRNA from 1 species
GUCCCUGUCUACUAUCCA